rnacentral:rRNA from 1 species
AACGAACGCUGGCGGCAGGUUUAACACAUGCAAGUCGAGCGCCCCGCAAGGGGAGCGGCAGACGGGUGAGUAACGCAUGGGAAUCUACCCAUCUCUACGGAAUAACGCAUGGAAACGUGUGCUAAUACCGUAUACGUCCUUCGGGAGAAAGAUUUAUCGGAGAUGGAUGAGCCCGCGUUGGAUUAGCUCGUUGGUGGGGUAAGGGCCUACCAAGGCGACGAUCCAUAGCUGGUCUGAGAGGAUGAUCAGCCACACUGGGACUGAGACACGGCCCAGACUCCUCCGGGAGGCAGCAGGGGGGAAUAUUGGACGAGGGGCGCAAGCCUGAUCCAGCCAUGCCGCGUGAGUGAUGAAGGCCCUAGGGUUGUAAAGCUCUUUCACCGGUGAAGAUAAUGACGGUAACUGGAGAAAAAGCCCCGGCUAACUUCGUGCCAGCAGCCGCCGUAAUAC